AACAAGAUCCAGCUACAUCUCCUCCUGCACCCUCGAUCCCCACUCUCUCUCUCUCUCUCUCUCUCUCUCAGCCUCCCAGUCGCAGGCAGGGCACGCCCCAACGCUCACGCCGCCGGCCAAUUUGGGGAUUACAGUACAGCAACAUCCCAGGCUUCCGGCGUCCAGCACUUGCAAGGUAAACCUUUUUACCUAGAUUCCUGGUGUGCUCGGCCGGCCUCGGAUCUUUAGAUUGUUGGUUUCAGUUGGGGGAAUUGGACUGCAGCCGUGUGGGUUUCCGGCCCUGAGCUAAAUCUUGGGGGUGGAAUCAAAUCAUCGGUGCGGUGGGGGUUGAAAUUGAACAAAUUGGACGGACGGAGUAGUGAAAUUGGAGCGUCCCAUUGCCCGAUCACAUCUAUCUAUAGGAUUCUUUCGAGGAAACGCCAGCAUUGUCCCUGAUCCAUGCCAUCAUAGGAUUGAACCUGUAAUAAGGUUACAUCGUUUGCAAGAUCAAGAACUAGAAAAUCUGGGGGAUCAGAGAUUUUGCUCUGAUUUGGGGUUAAUCAGGACUACUUUACCAUGAUUUUGCCCUCGAUCCAACAACACAUGGUGACUUCCAUAGCCAAACUUGCAUCAGUCAUAUCUUUUCAACCCUACAUCAGGUUAAAUGAUGUUAUAUACACUAUGUAAAUUGCCCUGGAAAAUGUGCAGUUCCCAUAAGUGGUAUUAUCUUUUUUGUUAAUCAUUUCUAAAAUAAUGCUUAGGGUGCAAUCUUAAUUAAAUGUCUUAAUCAAUUGAGCGGUACGCUUUAUCUGGAAAAGAAAAAAAAUGUUAGGGUCGAAGAUGGGUUGAACCCACAAAUGGAAAAUGGUUUGGAUUGGAUUGGGUGGAAGAGAAAAUGGUUUGGUGCGGCCUAGGUUCUCAAGUAUGGUUUUUUUGGGUUUGGUGGGGUUUGGCAGAUUUGUUUAUACUGUGUGGUUUGAAUUUUCUUAUGACACCAAAUUUCAGUUGAAUUUUCUUCAUGUGCAGGUUCGCGACGUGCACUUCUCUCCCGCGUCGAUGAAGAUUUGGCCAGUGGUUAAUUUCCUUCGUUUCCUUCUUGGCUUAAUUUUCUUAUUAACAUAUGAAAAUGUAAUUUUCUGAACAAUUGCAUUGAAAAUGUAUUUUUUCACUUGCAGGUUGGCAUGGGGCCAGUGGCCGAUGUCGUCCUCUCCGCCCUCAUCGUCAUCUUGGCCGCCGCCCUCAUCUUCGGCAUCAUCACCGGGCUCGCCUUCUGUGUAGUUUUCUGCCUCGGUGGUCCGCCCAACCUGCUGGGCGUCCUGCCGGUCGCUGGCAUCGUCCUCGGUGGGGGCCAGGUGGGAGGCGGCCAGGCGAUCGCAGGCGGGCCAUAGGUGGACUGGUGUAUUCAUUGGCAUCUAUCUAAUGUAACAUGAACCAUUGCGUUACCUAAUGUUCUGAGCUUGAUAGUAUUUCUAGACGGCCAAGCAAAACCGGCAAUACUUGGCACCAUACUACUUGGCAAUAGUCACACGCGUAGCCCACUGCUAACAAUCUUUUUCUAAUCUUGACUUUGGUCUGCUAUGCUCAUCAAUCUUGAAUUCGCUCGCACCACGACAAAUCAAAUUAUUGGUAGAUUAUUUUCAACAAUCUUUUCUCAAUUUUGUCUUGGCAGAAAAAAAAAUUACGGACCACCUUAAAUAUGCUUGGGAAUAACCAGCCUCGCUAGAAACCAUGUGGAACCACAUGUGGUCUUCAC
rnacentral:lncRNA from 1 species